rnacentral:rRNA from 1 species
UACGUAGGAGACGAGCGUUGUCCGGAAUUACUGGGCGUAAAGCGUGCGCAGGCGGUUUUGUAAGCCAGAUGUGAAAGCCCCGGGCUUAACCUGGGAAUGGCAUUUGGGACUGCAAGGCUUGAGUGCGGCAGAGGAGACUGGAAUUCCUGGUGUAGCAGUGAAAUGCGUAGAUAUCAGGAGGAAUACCGAUGGCGAAGGCAGGUCUCUGGGCUGACACUGACGCUCAUGCACGAAAGCGUGGGGAGCAAACAGG